GGAGAGGUAGGUGGACGUUUUUCGUCUGUAGUAUUAUUGAGCAUGAUUUAAUUGUGUGUGUGAUACAACACUCGUUAUAUAUUUCUGAAGUGCUUGGUUUUUAGAGAGCGGUACAGGAAAUGCUACGUGUUUUAAACAGCAAAUUACGUUGGGUUACUCGGUUACUAGAGGACCAAGAGUUAGCACGUACGAUUCUGGGCGUGAUAGCUAUUUCUUCACUCAUUGAUGUGGUGUUGGCAGCACUGCUGAGCUUGCUCGUGAUUUGAAUGUGGUUGUGUAAAGGUUGCAGUUCAAAGACCUCAACUAGAGGCCAGUUACUUAAACAUUACAGGUUAAAACAUCCACAUUAUGGGCGCAGGCACCCAUAUCCUUGCCCAUAUAUUAGUUGUCCAUGUACAUGCAAGUCAUGGAAUGCGCUCAGGUCACAUUUGUGUAGAGUCCAUACUAGAG